rnacentral:rRNA from 1 species
GACGAACGCUGGCGGCGUGCUUAACACAUGCAAGUCGAACGAUGAAGCCCUUCGGGGUGGAUUAGUGGCGAACGGGUGAGUAACACGUGGGCAAUCUGCCCUUCACUCUGGGACAAGCCCUGGAAACGGGGUCUAAUACCGGAUAUCACUCUCGCAGGCAUCUGUGAGGGUCGAAAGCUCCGGCGGUGAAGGAUGAGCCCGCGGCCUAUCAGCUUGUUGGUGAGGUAAUGGCUCACCAAGGCGACGACGGGUAGCCGGCCUGAGAGGGCGACCGGCCACACUGGGACUGAGACACGGCCCAGACUCCUACGGGAGGCAGCAGUGGGGAAUAUUGCACAAUGGGCGAAAGCCUGAUGCAGCGACGCCGCGUGAGGGAUGACGGCCUUCGGGUUGUAAACCUCUUUCAGCAGGGAAGAAGCGAAAGUGACGGUACCUGCAGAAGAAGCACCGGCUAACUUCGUGCCAGCCGCCGCGGUAA